CAUCUUUUACCAUUUCCCCUCCAGACUUUUAGGGAGGAACAGCUCUAAGGAGAAGAUUACAACUCCCAGUGGCUGGCCAGAGGAAAGCGCCAGCUCCCCAAACACAGGAAAUGAAUGAGAAAAACAAAGACAGCCUGGCAGAAAGUGGCUGUGUUCGAUGUAUCAAGAUGGACCUUGGGAAACGUGGAAGGGGUACCCUCAGGAUGCCUGAGAAAGGUCUUCAAGAUGGGAGAAGGUGGGACGAGAAGGAGGAGGAAAGCAAGAGAAGCAAGCACAUUUUCUUAAAUCCAGAGAUGGAAAUGGAACCCUUCUUACUGAGCCUUCUCCAGAUGAACGUGACCAGAAAUUCCUGGAGGCAUUGCCCUGGCUUUCUUCCCCGAGUCCCUCCACUGAACUUAUAAUUCACUCCAAGAGUGUGUUGGGUCUUACCUACUUUCUUGAAAGGGGCUUAUUUUGAACGCAUAUAGCUUUCAGCCCUGCAUUUCUAUUCCUAGGAACUUACCCUAUAGUUUUACUAGCACACAU